rnacentral:rRNA from 1 species
CAAAAACAUCGCCUCCCGCAAAAAUCAACGUAUAGGAGGUCCUACCUGCCCAGUGACUGUAAGUUAAACGGCCGCGGUAUUUUGACCGUGCAAAGGUAGCGCAAUCACUUGUCUUUUAAAUGAAGACCUGUAUGAAUGGUGGAACGAGGGCUUAACUGUCUCCCUCCCCUAGUCAGUGAAAUUGAUCUAUCCGUGCAGAAGCGGAUAUACUACUACAAGACGAGAAGACCCUUUGGAGCUUAAGAUAAAACCCAACUAUUUCAAAAGUUAAAAAUAAAACUAAACCAAAUAGCCCUGGCUCAUAUCUUCGGUUGGGGCGACCACGGGAGAAAAUAUAGCUCCCAUGAGGAUUGGGGAAUAUCCCUAAAACCAAGAGAGACAUCUCUAAGGCACAGAACAUCUGACCACUGAUCCGGCUAUAUGCCGACCAACGAACCAAGUUACCCUAGGGAUAACAGCGCAAUCCCCUUUCAGAGUCCAUAUCGACAAGGGGGUUUACGACCUCGAUGUUGGAUCAGGACAUCCUAAUGGUGCAGCCGCUAUUAAGGGUUC